CCUACGGGCGGCAGCAGUGAGGAAUAUUGGUCAAUGGACGAGAGUCUGAACCAGCCAAGUAGCGUGAAGGAUGACUGCCCUAUGGGUUGUAAACUUCUUUUAUAAAGGAAUAAAACGAGGCACGUGUGCCUUUUUGCAUGUACUUUAUGAAUAAGGAUAGGCUAACUCCGUGCCAGCAGCCGCGGUAAUACGGUGGAUCCGAUCGUUAUCCGGAUUUAUUGGGUUUAAAGGGAGCGUAGAUGGGUUGUUAAGUCAGUUGUGAAAGUUUGCGGCUCAACCGGAAAAGUGCAAUUGAUACUGGCAGGCUUGAGUACAUUAGAGGGAGGCGGAAUUCGUGGUGUAGCGGUGAAAUGCUUAGAUAUCACGAAGAACCCCGAUUGCGAAGGCAGCUUACUAGACUGUGACUGACAUUGAUGCUCGAAAGUGUGGGUAUCAAACAGGAUUAGAUACCCGGGUAGUC
rnacentral:rRNA from 1 species